GACGUAGGUGGCGAACGUUAUCCGGAAUCAUUGGGCGUAAAGGGUGCGUAGAUGGCAUGAUAAGUUAUUAGUGGGAAAUCGAGGCUCAACCUCGUGGAAGCUAGUAAUACUGUUUUGCUUGAGUACAGAAGAGGUUAACGGAACUCCAUGUGGAGCGGUAAAAUGCGUAGAUAUAUGGAAGAACACCAAUAACGGCGAAGGCAGUUAACUAUUCUGUUACUGACAUUGAGGCACGAAAGCGUGGGGAGCAAAACGG
rnacentral:rRNA from 1 species